CGCGUAGGUGGCUUGUCAGGUCUGGUGUGAAAUUUCGGGGCUCAACCCCGAACCUGCAUCGGAAACCGGCUUGCUAGAGUCUGGGAGAGGAGAGUGGAAUUCCUGGUGUAGCGGUGAAAUGCGUAGAUAUCAGGAGGAACACCGGUAGCGAAGGCGGCUCUCUGGAACAGUACUGACGCUGAGGCGCGAAAGCUAGGGGAGCGAACAG
rnacentral:rRNA from 1 species